CCAUCUGUACCACCAGGUGAUGCUAGGAGUCUGAAUAAAGAGCGACUCUGACAAAGUAACGAAGUGGAAGAAAUUCUGCGGGGACCGAAUCGUAAGAGGGCGUCCCUCCUGGUAACGACGCCCGGGUGAGUGC
rfam:Alphaproteobacteria bacterium 41-28 SCNpilot_cont_1000_p_scaffold_664, whole genome shotgun sequence.